rnacentral:lncRNA from 10 species
CUGGUCCUUAUGACAGGUGUGUCAUAUACAUUCCCCUAUAAUGCUUGCCUCAGCCUUCGAAGGAAGAUAAUAUUACCUCCAAUUAACUAUGAUCACCAAGUUAACCCAGGAGGAGGUACCUUCUGCCAUGAUUGUAAGUUUCCAGAGGCCUCCCCAGCCAUACAGAACUGUGAGUCAAUUAAACCUCUUUUCUUUAUAAAUUACCCAGUCUUGGGUAUUUCCUUAUAGCAAUGUGAGAAGGAACUUAUUCAAUGGCCUUACACAAAAUUCAUCUUCCAU